CGGAGGGUGCAAGCAUUGAUCGGAAUUACUGGGCGUAAAGGGCGCGUAGGCGGCUUUUCAAGUUAGAUGUGAAAUUCCGGGGCUCAACCCCGGAGCUGCAUUUGAAACUAAAGAGCUAGUGGCUAGUAAGGGAAAACAGAAUUCCACGUGUAGCGGUGAAAUGCGUAGAUAUGUGGAAGAAUACCGGUGGUGAAGACGGUUUUCUGUGCUAAGCCAGACGCUGAGGCGCGAAAGCUAGGGGAGCAAACAGGAUUAGAUACCCUGGUAGUCCUAGCCGUAAACGAUGUAUACUGGAUGUAGGAAGGCUCAACCCUUUCUGUAUCGGAGCUACGCGUUAAGUAUACCGCCUGGGGAGUACGCUCGCAAGGGUG
rnacentral:rRNA from 1 species